rnacentral:rRNA from 1 species
UACGUAGGUGGCAAGCGUUGUCCGGAUUUAUUGGGUUUAAAGGGUGCGUAGGCGGCCACUUAAGUCAGUGCUGAAAUACUCUAGCUUAACUAGAGGGGUGGCAUUUGAUACUGAAUGGCCUGAGUGAAGUCGAAGUAGGCGGAAUUGACGGUGUAGCGGUGAAAAUGCUUAGAUAUCGUCAAGAACACCCGAUAGUGAAAGACAGCUUACUAGACUUUCAAACUGACGCUGAGGCACGAAAAAGUGUGGGGGGAGCAAAACAGG